GACGAACGCUGGCGGCGUGCUUAACACAUGCAAGUCGAACGAUGAAGCCGGAGCUUGCUCCGGUGGAUUAGUGGCGAACGGGUGAGUAACACGUGAGCAAUCUGCCCUUGACUCUGGGAUAACUGCGGGAAACUGUAGCUAAUACCGGAUACGACACCUUGGGGCAUCCCAGGGUGUGGAAAGAAUUUCGGUCAAGGAUGAGCUCGCGGCCUAUCAGCUAGUUGGUGAGGUAAUGGCUCACCAAGGCGACGACGGGUAGCCGGCCUGAGAGGGUGACCGGCCACACUGGAACGGAGACACGGUCCAGACUCCUACGGGAGGCAGCAGUGGGGAAGAUUGCACAAUGGGCGAAAGCCUGAUGCAGCAACGCCGCGUGAGGGAUGAAGGCCUUCGGGUUGUAAACCUCUUUUAGCAGGGAAGAAGCGAAAGUGACGGUACCUGCAGAAAAAGCACCGGCUAACUACGUGCCAGCAGCCGCCGUAA
rnacentral:rRNA from 1 species